rnacentral:tRNA from 1 species
GGGCGAUUAGCUCACUUGGUAGAGCGCUUCAUUGACGUUGAAGAGGUAACAAGUUCGAAUCUUGUAUUGCCCA